rnacentral:rRNA from 1 species
UAGGGAAUUUCGUCAAUGGGCGCAAGCCUGAACGAAGGCAAUGCCGCGUGAACGAGGAAGGUCUUCGGAUCGUAAAGUUCUGUUGAAGGGGAAAAAGAGCGGAGAGAGGAAAUGGUCUCCGAUUGAUAUUACCCUUCGAGGAAGUCACGGCUAACUACGUGCC